rnacentral:rRNA from 1 species
CCUACGGGUGACUGCAGUGAGGAAUAUUGGUCAAUGGCCGGAAGGCUGAACCAGCCAUGCCGCGUGAAGGUCAGUGCCCUAUGGGCGUUAAACUUCUUUUGUGCGGGAGCAAUAAUGGUCACGUGUGGCCAGACGAGAGUACCGUACGAAUAAGCAUCGGCUAACUCCGUGCCAGCAGCCGCGGUAAUACGGGGGAUGCAAGCGUUAUCCGGAUUUAUUGGGUUUAAAGGGUGCGUAGGCUGUGAGGUAAGGCAGCGGUGAAAUGCCCCCGCUCAACGGGGUGAAGUGCCAUUGAUACUGCCUGGCUGGAAUGCGGAUGCCGUGGGAGGAAUGUGUGGUGUAGCGGUGAAAUGCAUAGAGAUCACACAGAACACCGAUUGCGAAGGCAUCUCACGAAUCCGCGAUUGACGCUGAUGCACGAAAGCGUGGGUAUCAAACAGGAUUAGAUACCCGAGUAGUC